CUUCGAGUACGUGACUCGAUUUCCUUUCUAUGAUUUCUUCCAAAGCAGAGACCACCUGCGACAAGAGAAGAAAACAUUGAGUCGUUUGCACAACAUCCGAUGCAAUGAAGAUUGCAGAGCAAUGAAGAAGUGUCUGGAUUCUUGCUUAGACACUUCUGUGUCACUCGAGCCAUCCAGAAGAGUUGGUAGACAUCAUGAGACUUGGCGAUUCUGGGAUCAAUUAACUCAAGGCUGUAGUGGUUUAUCUUUGCAGUGUCACUGGCAAGGUCAUCUAGUGACUCUGUCUUCCAGAUUGUAGGAAAACUACCAGCUUUGCGUGACUUGUCCUUUGCCUACCUGUCAAGUAUCACCCAUGUGGCCUUCAGAUUUCCUGCCAUUUCUAAUGCAAUUGCACUUGGUGAAGUUUGCAGCAGGUGCUUCUUUGAGGCUGAAAGAAUCAUACAGUGAAAUUGAAAGGCAGGUAGAUGGCAGUUAGAUACCUUCUGGAUUUCGUACAUUUUAGCAAUCUGAACAAGUUCCACAUUGUUCUCGAGAUAGAAAACAUGAAUAUGUUUGCAGAGCUUCCUAGCUUUCAUGAAGGAUAACGUACUAGGGUUAUUAACCUGCUGAAGAAUUCCUACGAGGAUGAACACAUCUCCAGGCUUCAGUGAUAAGCCGUGCA